CAAGGCAACCGGGCAAUCGCUCCGCUUUGGGUGGAGAGGAAAGUCCGGACACCAUUCUCGUUUUGUCGGGAUUAUGCGCAGUGGGUAAUGCCCACCGCUGCGAUGGCGACAUCGCAGAAGGGAAAGUGCCACAGAGACUAUACUAUCCGACGCCAUGCGUCGGGCAAAGGAGAAAAGUUUUUCGGUGUGCAAGUUUUCGCUCUAUCAGCUGAUUAGCGAAAUACUUUUGCUACGGAAGUUCUUCAUUGGCGACAAUGAAAGAUGGCAAACCCUGCGUGGUGCAAGGCCGUGCCCCGAUUUAUCGGGGAGUGCCGCUGGAAUCUGCCGGCAACGGUAGAUCAAGAUAAAUGAUUGUCCGCCGUGCUUUGUUCGCGCAAGGCACGAUGACAGAAUCCGGCUUACAGGUUGUCUUGAUGA
rnacentral:RNase_P_RNA from 1 species